rnacentral:rRNA from 1 species
CCUACGAGAGGCAGCAGUGAGGAAUAUUGGUCAAUGGGCGGAAGCCUGAACCAGCCAAGUAGCGUGCGGGCUGAAGGCCCUACGGGUCGUAAACCGCUUUUGCACGGGGAUAACACCCUCCCCUUGUGGAGGUCUGCAGGUACCUUGCGAAUAAGGGCCGGCUAAUUCCGUGCCAACAGCCGCGGUAAUACGGAAGGCCCGAGCGGUAUCCGGAGUCAGUGGGCUUAAAGGGAGCGUAGGCGGGCGUUCAAGUCAGCUGUAAAAUCGCGCGGCUCAAACGCGCCCCGCAGUUGAAACUGGACGCCUUGAGUUCACAACAGGCAGGCGGAAUUCGUGGUGUAGCGGUGAAAUGCAUAGAUAUCACGAGGAACCCCGAUUGCGAAGGCAGCCUGCUGGGGUGCGACUGACGCUGAGGCUCGAAGGUGCGGGUAUCAAACAGGAUUAGAUACCCCGGUAGUC